GAUGAAGAACGUAGCGAAAUGCGAUAAGUAAUGUGAAUUGCAGAAUUCAGUGAAUCAUCGAGUCUUUGAACGCACAUUGCGCCCCCUGGUAUUCCGGGGGGCAUGCCUGUCCGAGCGUCAUUGCCGCCCUCAAGCACGGCUUGUGUGUUGGGCCCCCGCCCCCCGGCUUCGGGGGGCGGGCCCGAAAGGCAGCGGCGGCACCGCGUCCGGUCCUCGAGCGUAUGGGGCUUCGUCACCCGCUCUGUAGGCCCGGCCGGCGCCCGCCGGCGACCCCAAUCAAUCUUUACAGGUUGACCUCGGAUCAGGUAGGGAUACCCGCUGAACUUAAGCAUAUCAAUAAGCGGAGGA
rnacentral:misc_RNA from 1 species